CCCCCACCCCAAGGAGCCAUGCACUGCCAGAGAUCUUGAGCCAGGUCUUCAGUGGUUAUCCAUUGAUAAUAAGAACAGUGAGGUAUCUUGUUGAUUUCGACGUGACCAUCUUCCUAACGCUUCUUCCAAACAAUGAACUGGAGGCUCUUUCCACGAAUGAAUGUUUAGCUGCUUCAAGUGUGAUUCCAGCUUUUUCAAGAGCUUCUUGUUGUUCUACUUCUACUGCCUUUAUUGUAGUUAACAUGUCCUGUGAAUGUUUUUAGGAGCCCAGUUUUGCUACAAACACAGUAAACCUCAAGUUCACAUAUAGUUAAAAAACGGUCUACUUGUAACAUUAUCUAGGAAAAAGUUCUACAAAUUGGACAUGGUGAAACUUUUCAUUCAUUAUGUUUUCAGUAUUUACUGAGGUACUCACUACAAAAG